rnacentral:rRNA from 1 species
CGGUAAUACGUAGGUGGCAAGCGUUGUCCGGAUUUAUUGGGCGUAAAGCGCGCGCAGGCGGUCUUUUAAGUCUGAUGUGAAAGCCCCCGCUUAACCGGGGAGGGUCAUUGGAAACUGGAAGACUGGAGUGCAGAAGAGGAGAGUGGAAUUCCACGGUAGCGGUGAAAUGCGUAGAUAUGUGGAGGAACACCAGUGGCGAAGGCGACUCUCUGGUCUGUAACUGACGCUGAGGC